rnacentral:rRNA from 1 species
CCUACGGGAGGCAGCAGUGGGGGAUAUUGCACAAUGGGGGAAACCCUGAUGCAGCGACGCCGCGUGUGGGAAGACGGUCCUCUGGAUUGUAAACCACUGUCCCCAGGGACGAAGAUGACGGUACCUGGGGAGGAAGCUCCGGCUAACUACGUGCCAGCAGCCGCGGUAAUACGUAGGGAGCGAGCGUUGUCCGGAAUUACUGGGUGUAACGGGAGCGUAGGCGGGACUGCAAGUUGGGUGUCAAAUCUACCGGCUCAACCGGUAGCCGCACUCAAAACUGCAGUUCUUGAGUGAAGUAGAGGCAGGCGGAAUUCCUGGUGUAGCGGUGAAAUGCGUAGAUAUUAGGAGGAACACCAGUGGCGAAGGCGGCCUGCUGGGCUUUUACUGACGCUGAGGCUCGAAAGUGUGGGGAGCAAACAGGAUUAGAUACCCCGGUAGUC